AACACGUUUUCUGUAAUGAACAUAUGGGAGACUCCAGUGGGAAAGCGCUCCAGUCCUAUCCCAAGCGUGUUGCUGGCUGUGACUGCAGAGAAGCAGGCACCAGACAGGAUCAGGAAGCGAAGAGGCAAGAAGGCAUAGGCAUGGGCUUGACCACCGCUGCAGCUCUGAGCGCUGCCACAGCCUCCCGCGGCAGUGCGUCGGGGUGACAGGUGGCUUUCUGCAUAUUUAGUACCUAGUUUUCCUUCUGUAGCACAUGGUCUUAUCUAAGGGUGAAGAGCCUUAUGCAAACUCUACAUGUCUUGAAAUUUUAAUCUGAGGAGAAAGACAUCAGUGCAGAUCCGAGCACAACCACAAAAGAUGCUGGGAGUCAAAGGGAUAUCAUCGCUGAUGACUGCGCGGUGAUACCUAAAGGUCACUGAAGCAGCUGUCAGAUCAAAAUUUUAAUGAGGCUCUGGGGGCUGAAAUCAAGGUGGCAACCAGGCCAGUUGCUCCUGAAGGCUGCAGCGAAAUCUGCUUCCUGCCUGUUCCAGUGUCCCCAGGAUUCCCCAGGCUGCGCUCACAUCCCCCAGCACGUUGUCCCCUCAUUUCUUGUGUUCAGCACCUCUCUCUUACUUCUGUUUGCCUCCUGUUUUCAUGAGAACCUUAUGAUUACAAGGAUCCCACCUGGACAAGCUCCCCUUGAUUUCAUCCCAUCUGUAAAGUUCCUUUCUCCCUGACGAAUAACAUAUCCAGGGUUCCAGGGUUUAGGAUGAGGAUGAUUUUGCAGGCAGAUGGGUCUGAUUCAGCCUGCCACAGUCUCUUUUGUGAUUACCCUCAUUACCUAAUUAUUUAAAAAGUCCUUUAGAAAUGAUACUGCUGUAUCGCAUGCGUAUGCACAUGGGAGGUGAUGGAGUGGGGAACAAACACUUCCCGGACACUGCUGGACAGAUCUCAGCAUCGUCACUUCUGCUGCCCCUGCUGCUGCUGUGCCUGCUUUUGACAUCGAUAGACAAUGAAAAUUACCUUGAUCAUUAAUGAAUGAGCAAAGGAACGAAAUAGGAUUUUUUUUCUGGCAUUUAUUCAAAUGUUUCAUUCUUACACAUUGAAUACCUAAUAUUUACAAUAAAAAUUAUUAAAAUCA